rnacentral:rRNA from 1 species
GAAAGUAAGCAAGGGCAGACGGUGGAUGCCUUGGCUCUCGGAGGCGACGAAGGACGUGAUAAGCUGCGAAAAGCCCGGGGGAGGCGCAAAUAGCCGUUGAUCCCGGGAUAUCCGAAUGGGGCAACCCGGCAGGCUGAAGGCCUGUCAUCCCGAAAGGGAGGCGAACGUGGGGAACUGAAACAUCUAAGUACCCAUAGGAGGAGAAAAUAAACAAUGAUUCCGUAAGUAGUGGCGAGCGAACACGGAAGAGCCCAAACCCAUGUCGUCUAGGCGACACGGGGGUUGUAGGACCACGACGUGGCAAGAAGGAAGGGAAAUGGAACGCCUUGGAAAAGUCGGCCAUAGACGGUGAAAGCCCGGUACAUGACUCCCUUACGAAGCCUAGUGGUAUCCUGAGUAGCGCGGGGCACGAGAAAUCUUGCGUGAAGCAGCGGGGCCCAUCCCGUAAGGCUAAAUACUCCCGAGAGACCGAUAGCGAACCAGUACCGUGAGGGAAAGGUGAAAAGAACCCCGAGCAGGGGAGUGAAAUAGACCCUGAACCCGUCUGCCUACAAGCGGUCGGAGCGUCGUAAUGACGUGACGGCGUGCCUUUUGCAUAAUGAACCUACGAGUUACCUUCCCCGGCAAGGUUAAGUUCUUGAGGAACGGAGCCGAAGCGAAAGCGAGUCUGAACAGGGCGCCAAGUCGGGGGGGGUAGACGCGAAACCGAGUGAUCUACCCUUGGCCAGGUUGAAGGUUGGGUAACACCAACUGGAGGACCGGAUGGGUAAGCGUUGAAAAGCUUUCCAAUGAGCUGAGGGUAGGGGUGAAAGGCUAAUCAAACUCGGAGAUAGCUCGUACUCCCCGAAAUGCAUUUAGGUGCAGCCUCUUUAUAGUAUAUCGUGAGGUAGAGCGACUGAUUGGAUGCGAGGGCUUCACCGCCUAUCAAGUCCAGAUAAACUCCGAAUGCGCGAUAUAUAUUUACAGGGAGUGAGGGCGCGGGUGCUAAGGUCCGUGUCCGAGAGGAGAAGAAUCCAGACCACCGGCUAAGGCCCCCAAAUGAUCGUUAAGUUGAACUAACGAGGUCGGAUCGCAGAGACAGCUAGGAUGUUGGCUUGGAAGCAGCCAUUCAUUUAAAGAGUGCGUAACAGCUCACUAGUCGAGCGAUCUGGCGUGGAUAAUAAUCGGGCAUAAACGAUCUGCCGAAGCCGUGGAUGUCGCAAGACAUGGUAGGGGAGCAUUCCAUGCCGCGUCGAAGAUGAGGGAUGACCCUUGUUGGAGCGCAUGGAAAAGCAAAUGUAGGUAUGAGUAACGAUAAGGGGGGCGAGAAACCCCCCCGCCGAAAGACCAAGGUUUCCUGAUCAACGCUAAUCGGAUCAGGGUGAGUCGGGACCUAAGGCAAAGCCGAACGGCGCCGCCGAUGGAAGAAUGGGUUAAUAUUCCCAUACUGCCUCAUGGAGUGACGUGGAGACGGAGAAGUGACAGUCCUGCCGGCUGACGGAAUAGCCGGUUGAAGGGUGUAGAUAUUGAUUCCCGUAGGCAAAUCCGCGGGGAGAGUCGAACCUGAGAGUAUACGGAGCGCUUGCGCAACGUAAUAUGGACGUAACCAUGCUCCCGAGAAAAUCCGCUAAACUUAUCCAUGCGGCACCCGUACCGUAAACGGACACACGUGGUCGGGUUGAGAAUACUGAGGCGCUCGAGUGAUUCACGGUUAAGGAACUAGGCAAAUUGACCCUGUAACUUCGGGAUAAAGGGUCCUCGUCGUAAGGCGAGGCGCAGAGAAUAGGUCCAGGCAACUGUUUAACAAAAACACAUGGCUGUGCUAAAUGGAAACAUGAUGUAUACAGCCUGACACCUGCCCGGUGCCGGAAGGUUAAGAGGAGAUGUCAUCCGCGAGGAGAAGCGUUGAAUUGAAGCCCCGGUAAACGGCGGCCGUAACUAUAACGGUCCUAAGGUAGCGAAAUUCCUUGUCGGGUAAGUUCCG